CAUUCAGGCAUGUGAGGUUGUUUUUAUUUAUCAGGACUGCAACUGAAGUUUAUGCUCCCCGCCCAAUAAGUGCUGAUUACUUCAACGAGGUGUCCAGACCCACUUAACUCACCUAAGACAGUUCCAGGUUUAAGGUGUGACCAAAAAUAGAGUUUUGCUUGAGUUUUAAAACAAGAAAUGAUGGAGGGAAGGAUCCUUUGAACAAAAGGUCAGCUGCUAAUUGUUUCUGUCUUUUUCAGGUUGUGUUUUCUUGUGAAGCAUCAACAUUCAAUUUCCAUUUCAGUGCCACAAGUGGACUUAUCCCAAAUUAAGAGGAUUAAAGAGCUCCUCGAGAACUGAGGCCAGAAACGCUUCCAUACUGCAGGAGGUAGAGUCAGCUGCAAAGGCGGGGCUGAAACUCACAGCAAAAAAAGGAUACACAGCACACAAGACCACAAAACAAAUAACCAGCAAUAUUGGAGCCUUGCAGCCGUACAGUUUAGUUUAGAUCCAGGUUCCAGCUCAUA
rnacentral:lncRNA from 1 species